GAUGAACGCUAGCUACAGGCUUAACACAUGCAAGUCGAGGGGUAACGAGAGGAAAGCUUGCUUUCCUUGUCGACGACCGGCGCACGGGUGAGUAACGCGUAUCCAACCUGCCCCCAACUAGGGAAUAACCUUCCGAAAGUAAGACUAUUACCCUAAAAUUUCCUCAAAGGCAAUCUGACGAGGAAAAAAGAUUUAUCGGUUGUGGUUGGGGAUGCGGCUGAUUAGCUUGUUGGCGGGGUAACGGCCCACCAAGGCAACGAUCAGUAGGGGUUCUGAGAGGAAGGUCCCACACAUUGGAACUGAGACACGGUCCAAACUCCUACGGGAGGCAGCAGUGAGGAAUAUUGGUCAAUGGGCGGAAGCCUGAACCAGCCAAGUAGCGUGCAGGAUGACGGCCCUAUGGGUUGUAAACUGCUUUUAUACAGGAAUAAAGUUAGCCACGUGUGGUUAUUUGUAGGUACUGUAUGAAUAAGGACCGGCUAAUUCCGUGCCAGCCGCCGCAGUAA
rnacentral:rRNA from 1 species